AAUCCAAUAGAUGAGGAGAGGAGACGAAAAUAUACUAUACGAGGCCCCUUUUUGAUUCUGAUGUUCACUUUGGGAUGAACAUCUCCCUGAGAUUAGAUUCGAUUCGAUUCGAUUCGAUUCUAUCUGCAGAAUUGAUACUUUCUUUAUUAGUUUCUUACCAUCUUGAUCCAUGUCCGAUCCGGAGAGAGAUUAUCAGAUUAAGGUUUUAUUUUCUGGCGGGAUGAAAGUACCAUGAAUCUUCUAGUUAAUUAAGUGGUAGUGAGGCACGAGGCUCCAACAGCUCCUUUCAUGAUGUGUUUGUAGGUGGGAUGGAAUUUUUGGGAUUUUCAAUCUCUCUCUCUCUCUCUCUCUCUCUAUAUAUAUAUAUAUAUAUAUCUAUGUGUAUGUAUAUUAGGUAAAGCCUAAGGCUUAGAUGGUAUCAUAAUAAUUUAUUAUCAUCAUGCAAUUAUGAGUGAGUGGUGUGACCUUACCACCACUGCCCAUUUCUCCCUUGUUUUUAUCGAUCAUUUCCCCAAUUUGUCCAUACGUUUUAAGAUAAAUUUUUCACUAUCCAUACAUACUUUAUUUGAUUCAACAAAAUUAUUAUGCUAUUCAAAAAAGCAUCUUUAUUCCAAUUUAUUUGGGUUAAGACAAAAAGUGUGAUAUUUUCAUCAAAAGUGAAUGAUAUAUAGUAUACUUAUAUGUGUAUUAAAUUUAUAUAUUUUUAUUAAUUAACGGAAUCCGCUCAACAAAUCAUUCAUAUUUCCUUUACAUUAUUAGUUUAUUUAUUUACAUUAAUCACACAUUAGGGUUGGUUUGGUUGUAGGUAUGUAUGAGAGUUUUGAAAUUUGAAUAUUAAAAUUUUGAAUUAGAAUAAUUUUAAAUGUAAAAUUAUGUAAUCUAAAAAUAUUUCUUUCAAUUUGAACAUUAAAACUUUUUAUUUAAAUAAUGUUAACUGAUGCAAUGUUUUUGUGAAAUAAAAAAAUGUAUUUUUUGAAAAAUAUAGAGUCAAAUGAUACAAAACUGGAUCAAAACUUAAAAAUUCGUGUUUAAUUUGAUGUUGUUGAAAUUAUAUAUAUAUAAUAAAAAUGUGAUUCAAAGCUUACAAACAAACACAAAUUUUAAAUUUUCAAUCCUUUUAAUAAAAUAAUAACUUUCUAGUAACUAAUAAAAGUCGUUGCUCUACAUAUAUAUACACAAUUAUUUAUUACAUGCAUAUUAAUUCUUUUUAUUUGCAUAAAUUGGAGACUAAUUUAACAGUAAUAUACUACUAUAUGCAUAUAUUAUUACAUAGGGGAAGAGGUUGUUGGGCGGAGAAAUGAAAUCUCACCCGCCAGUCAAACUCAAAACAAACAAUCUGACACACGUGAGAACCCCAACCUUAGCUUUUUAUUUAUUUAUUUUUAUUUUUUAUUUUUAUAAAGACAUGAAUUCAUUACCAAACACCCAUCCACUACCAGCCUCCCUCCCUCCCUCCCUCCAUCUAUAAAAACCUACAGUAAUUCCAACGACCUGCAACAAGCUUGCCUUAAAUUCUCUCAAAUUCUGCUUCUUCCCAACCAUUUUUUUGAAGCUUUCUUAAUUUCUGGUUUUUUAUUUCACUUGGCAAUAAUAUUCCGGCAUUGAUCGAAUUUGGAUGCAGAUCGAGACGCAGGUAAGUGAGUGGCUUCUUCCAUUGAGGUUGUAGUUAACCUUGGCUUCGUUGUCUGUUCGACCUUGGAUUCAUUACUAUCCAUCUGAAACCCUAGUUGAUUUUUUUUUUUUUUUUUUGUUGUGUGUGUGUUGGGAUGAUAGAUAUUGAUAUUGAAUUUAUAUAUAGAUUAUAUAAUAUAUAUUUAGAAUCAUUUGCUUCUAUUAAGAUAUAUAUGUUUUUUAUUAACUUAUAUAUAUUUAGAGUCAUUUGUUUUUAUUAGAUAAUACAUUGUAAUGUAUAUCUACGAUUUUUCAUGAAUUGUAUGUUUCAAUUGCAGGAAUUUAGAUUUUUAUUUUUAUUUUUUAUCAUCAUCAUCAAAGCAUUUGAUGCAUGCUAUAAUUGAAUUGUGAAUGGAUUCAAUGUAUUUGUUAAUUGUUGGUUGGGAAAGAGUUAGGUAUUUCAUUUUAUUUUUAAUUAUUGCGGAGAUUUUGAUGAAAUAAACUGGCAAUCGACAAAACACUGGCUGAGCUUCUAGUACAUUUACUCUCACAGUGUAUGGAUUUUAAAAUAUUUCAUGACACCAACGUUUCAGAGAUUAUUGUUACAUUCAUGACAAAACCCCAAUUUUUAUUGCCGACACCAAAAUAUUUUUAAGAUAUGGGUAGAAUAUUGGUUAAUUAUUUAGAAUUAUUGCAUGUGAUUCUAGCCAAGUUGUAUGUGAUUUAUUAAAUAAAUGGGCCCCCCAAUAUUUGUUUCUAGUCCAGGAAGCCCAGGUUUAUGAUUCCUCUUCUACUUCUUGAACAUGAUCAUGUUCAUAUAAUUUUUAGUGUCUGGGUUGGGUUGGGUUGGAUUGAUUGCUUGAAUAAUUAAUCUAAGGUCGAACAAACAGUCGAAGCUAAGGUGUAACAACCAUUCACAUUCCGACAGAUGUGUAGCUGAGAGAGUUGGGUGGAAGCUUAAACAUGCAAGGAAUUGAAGUUAUCUUUUUAAUUUGAAAAGAUCUGAAAUUGUUUGUAAAUUUGAUUUAUAGAUGUAUAGAUUUGGGGAAUUUGAAAAUCCCAGAAAGCUGUAAAUUCCAGUUGUACAAAAGAAGCAAAAGGUUAAAAAAUGACUACAAUAUUGUAUGUCUAGUUCUAUCACUUUGUGGCAAAAAGGUGAAACAUAGAAUGUUUGUUUAUUUGAAUGAAAACGAACAGCCAUUUUGAAGGAAUUGAAGAUAAAGAAACAAUGGAAAGGACGGAUUUGAGAA